rnacentral:rRNA from 1 species
GAUGAACGCUGACAGCAUGCUUAACACAUGCGAGUCUACCUGAAAGUGGGUUUUUUAACUUAGAUUUGGGUGGCGGCCGGGUGAGUAACGCGUAAAGAACUUGCCUCACAGAUAGGGACGACAUUUUGAAAAGACCGCUAAUACCUGAGAAUAUGAUUAUAAGGCAUCUUAGAAUUAUGAAAGAUAUAUGCGCUUUGAGAGAUCUUUGCGUCCCAUGAGCUAGUUGGAGAGGUAACGUCUCACCAAGGUGAUGAUGGGUAGCCGGCCUGGGAGGGUGAACGGCCACAAGGGCACUGAGGAGCGGCCCUUACUCCUACGGGAGGCAGGAGUGGGAAAUAUUGGGCAAUGGACCAAGAGUCUGAUCCAGCAAUUCUGUGUGCACGAUGACGUUUUUCGGAAUGUAAAGAGCUUUCAGUUGGUAAGAAAAAAAUGACGGUACCAACAGAAGAAGUGACGGCUAAAUACGUG